CCGAUCUCUAAACAUGAAAUGUCCAAAUAUUCAAGUCUCUUAUACACACACAGUUCUUUUAACAGUUCCACAUUGUCGCCGUCCAUCGACGCCAUGUUGUCUCCAUAUGCCGUCGUCUAUCGCCUCCGUCGGUCACCGUCCAGACGGGACGAGUAACCUCCCGUCGCUGGAUCUACAUCGUUAUUGUUCUUGCACCAAAAAUAUUACUUCUUUCUUUUACUGUCUUCUGUCAACUCACUUCUCCUCUCUCUUCUCUUUUCUUCCCUUCUACUCCUCUGACUAAUCUCCUUAUUCAUCCUCUAUCCAUAACGAGGAAGUUUCUCACAGUAAUUUGACAAGGAA
rnacentral:lncRNA from 1 species